rnacentral:rRNA from 1 species
GGGAAUUAGUUGGACAAUGGGCGAAAGCCUGAUCCAGCAAUGCCGCGUGAGUGAUGAAGGCCUUNGGGUUGUAAAGCUNUUUUNCCCGGGAUGAUAAUGACAGUACCGGGAGAAUAAGCUCCGGCUAACUUCGUGCCAGCAGCCGCGGUAAUACGAGGGGGAGCUAGCGUUGUUCGGAAUUACUGGGCGUAAAGCGCGCGUAGGCGGUUUUUUAAGUCAGAGGUGAAAGCCCGGGGGCUCAACCCCGGAAUAGCCUUUGAAACUGGAAAACUAGAAUCUUGGAGAGGUCAGUGGAAUUCCGAGUGUAGAGGUGAAAUUCGUAGAUAUUCGGAAGAACACCAGUGGCAGAAGGCGACUGACUGGACAAGUAUUGACGCUGAGGUGCGAAAGCGUGGGG